rnacentral:lncRNA from 1 species
CGCUUUUUUCCUUUUGUUUUUCCUUUUUUUUUUUUUUCUUUUUCUUUUUUCCCAGAGCUAUUUAUCAUUUUAAUGGAACGCCGCGGAAUAUUACAUUGCGCCAUGUGUUUAAAUUGAUAAAUUGUAUUAGGAAAACAUCGGAUGGGAUUUUUAAUGAAAGGAGGAAGAGGAUGGAGGGCACUGCAGGAGAGGACUCAAGCUGAGCAGAUGAAACUGGGAAUGAAGGUAGGAGAAAUAAAGACUUGUUGUAGAGCGGAUGGGCGUGGGCAAAAUUUCACCCAUAUCCAUUGGAUGGGGGGAAAAUUGAUUUAUUUAUAUUGUUUGGUUGCACAGAGCUGGC